UACGGAGGGUGCGAGCGUUGUCCGGAAUCACUGGGCGUAAAGGGCGCGUAGGCGGCCUGAUAAGUAGGGGGGUGAAAUCCUGCGGCUUAACCGCAGGGCUGCCUUCUAAACUGUCGGGCUAGAGCACGGUAGAGGCAGAUGGAAUUCCCGGUGUAGCGGUGAAAUGCGUUGAUAUUUAGGGGAACACCAAAAGCGAAGGCAGGAGACUGGACCAAAUCUGACACUGAAACACGAAAGCGUGGGUAGCGAAUGGG
rnacentral:rRNA from 1 species